rnacentral:rRNA from 1 species
CCUACGGGCGGCAGCAGUGGGGAAUAUUGGACAAUGGGCGAAAGCCUGAUCCAGCCAUGCCGCGUGUGUGAAGAAGGCCUUCGGGUUGUAAAGCACUUUCAGUGGGGAAGAAAGCCUUGGGGCUAAUACCCUCGAGGAAGGACAUCACCCACAGAAGAAGCACCGGUUAACUCCGUGCCAGCAGCCGCGGUAAUACGGAGGGUGCGAGCGUUAAUCGGAAUUACUGGGCGUAAAGCGCGCGUAGGCGGUCUGAUAAGCCGGUUGUGAAAGCCCCGGGCUCAACCUGGGAACGGCAUCCGGAACUGUCAGGCUAGAGUGCAGGAGAGGAAGGUAGAAUUCCCGGUGUAGCGGUGAAAUGCGUAGAGAUCGGGAGGAAUACCAGUGGCGAAGGCGGCCUUCUGGACUGACACUGACGCUGAGGUGCGAAAGCGUGGGUAGCAAACAGGAUUAGAUACCCCAGUAGUC